CGCUGGCGGCGGGCUUAACACAUGCAAGUCGAAGGAGAAGGAAGGAGCUUGCUCUUUCUGGAGACUGGCGGACGGGUGAGUAACGCGUAGCUAACCUGCCUUUAACUGGGGGAUAACAUUCCGAAAGGGGUGCUAAUACCGCAUAAAGCAACUGAGUCGCAUGACUCUGGUUGUUAAAGGUUUCGACCGGUUAAAGAGGGGGCUGCGUGCUAUUAGUUAGUUGGUGAGGUAACGGCUCACCAAGGCGAUGAUAGCUAGGGGGUCUGAGGGGAUGAUCCCCCACACUGGGACUGAGACACGGCCCAGACUCCUACGGGAGGCAGCAGUGAGGAAUCUUGCGCAAUGGGCGAAAGCCUGACGCAGCCACGCCGCGUGCCGGAUGAAGGCCCUAUGGGUUGUAAACGGCUUUUAAGCAGGAAGAACGACCGGAUUUCGAUCUGGUGUGACGGUACUGCUUGAAUAAGCACCGGCUAACUCCGUGCCAGCAGCCGCGGUAAUACGGAGGGUGCAAGCGUUGUCCGGAAUCAUUGGGUGUAAAGGGUGCGUAGGCGGGCGUCUAAGUCUGGGGUGAAAUCUUGCCGCUUAACGGUAAAAUGGCCUUGGAUACUGGGCGUCUUGAGUGUAGAAGAGGUAAGUGGAAUUCGUAGUGUAGCGGUGAAAUGCAUAGAUAUUACGAAGAACAUCAGUGGCGAAGGCGGCUUACUGGUCUACAACUGACGCUGAGGCACGAAAGC
rnacentral:rRNA from 1 species